GGCUGCUGAGCUUUGCUCGGAGUCAUUAUGUAGCAGGUCCAGGGCUGCAUACCUGCCGGCCUUCCCGUGCCGCCGCGCCUAAGGAAGUGGUUCCCAACGAGACCCGGCAGUAAGCGAGCAGCCAUUCCAGCAGCUAAAUCACAGGAGCCCUAGACAGACCGGAGCCGACAAAAAUGUAGGUUUUGACAUUAAAAGCUAAAUGGGGAAGCAGAAGGUAAAUUGAUGGUAGAUGGGGAUGUCAGUGCCCUGGCCUCAGCCCUCCGCCCGCGGAGCCAAGGCCUGAUAACAGCGGAGCUCUGCGCUUCGCAUCCUUCCCGCACCCGGGGGCAUCGGCAUCCCGUCGAUCUGUCCGGUCAUUCCUCCAGGCCAAAACAUUUGGGGGAGCUUUUACCGAGGUUAAAGGCACGUAAGAGGAGGGAUAGCAGGCUUUCCCACUCUGCAACUUUUCUCUGUGGGUGCAGGAAGGAAGAGGGAAGGGAGGGCAGGGUGGAGAGCAGCCGGGGCGCUGGAGCCUUUUCCCCCCAGAUGGACUCACGGAUCCGUGUUUUAGGCUUGUAGCCUCGUUUCAUGGCUAAGGCAGCGAGACCCCAUGGCUAAGGCAGUGAGACCCUCUGCUCUCUCUCAAGAGAACACAGCACUUUGAUUUUUAUUUUUUUUUUUUUCUCCCCUUGAAAAGGAAGAGCACCAAAACUCCCCCGGGUGACGUCCCGCCUCCCGUUCCCUCCCAGGGAGAGGCCCCUCCGUUCCCCGGGUUGCGGGCCCGGCUGCACGCCCGAAAC